UCUUUUUCCCAGGUAGUGAGAAACAAAAUUUAAUUUUGUCUCUGAAUUUCUCCUCAUCCCACUUUUUGCAGAGCCUUGGGAAAUACUCCUGAGUGUGGCACUCCAGUGACUGUCACUGAAACACAAACCAAUUGAGUAGAAGUACGCUCAAAAGACUAUAAAUUUAUCAGCAUCAAGAAGCCUGGGAUGCUCUGAAGAAAAUAUACUUCAGAUUUCCUCAAGAUGCUUCAGCUGGUGCGUGAAUCACAGAUGCGACCUCCAGCUGUCCAGUAACCCAAGGUGUUUGAUAAAUAUGGAAAGGCUACUGAUGUCUACAUUUAUGGAUAUAUGGUUAUUCUGUCUGGCUGUUUCCUGGCUGUGUUCACACGCCAUGAUGCUGGGGAAGCUGUUCCACAGACCACACUUUGAGGAGAAAGAGCAGCACCAUGCAUCAUUUCAAACCACAACGCACAACCUAUUAGUGGGCAGUGAAAUUCCAGAAUGAGAAGAUGUAUGGGACAGGGGCACAGCUGACCACAGCAAUGAAGGAAGAAAUAUGCCAUAGACACUGCAAACUUCUGAGAUUCUGAAGUCAUUUAUAACUAUAACUUUACCUAUGGAAAACAGACUAAUAAAUCAUGGGCUGGUGUUAUUAAUAAAUUCCAAAGACACAAGCAUUCUCACA